rfam:Haloquadratum sp. J07HQX50 genomic scaffold scf7180000001540, whole genome shotgun sequence.
UACUUACUGGCUACUGUACUGGCUGGUGAAUGGCUCGGCUCGAGUGCCGAUGACGGACGUGCCAAGCUGCGAUAAGCCUGAGCAAGCUGCAUGGAGGCGAAGAACUCAGGAUCUCCGAAUGGGAAUCCCCACCGCAAUUGCUUCGCGCAAUGGGGAACGCCCCGAAUUGAAACAUCUUAGUAGGGGCAGGAACAGAAAGCAACCGCGAUGUCGUUACUAACCGCGAGUGAACGCGACCCAGUCCAAACCGAAGCCCUCACGGGCAAUGUGGUGUUCGGAGUUGCCAUCAUGGAUUUAACGUCGACCAGAAAUCUCCUGGAACGGAGUACGACACAGGGUGACAGUCCCGUAUGACCGACCGACAAUCUUGGGCGACAUCCAGAGUAGCGGGGGUUGGAUCUCCCUCGUGAACAUCGCAGGCAUCCCCUGUGAAGACUACAUACUCCUCGAGACCGAUAGCGAACAAGUAGCGUGAGCGAACGCUGAAAAGCACCCCGAACAGGGCGGUGCAAUAGGGCCUGAACUCAGUCAGUGAUAGAACGACGUGGCAUACAAGGUCCCAAUCUUAACGACCGUGGGGCGACCCACCUGUAGGCCGAUUGGGAUGCCGAUGUCGCGUCGUGCGUUUUGAAAAACGACCCAGGGAGUGUAUCUACCCGACGAGUCUAACUGGUCAACCCAGGCAGGCGCAGGGAACCCGACAUGGCCGCAGUCCACACGGACCAGGGCCGCCGUACUUCAAUGCGGGGAGUCAGGUGGAUACGACCCGAAACCGAGUGAUCUACGCGCGGGCAAGGUGAAGCGUGGCGAAAGCUGCGUGGAGGCCUGCUAGAGAUGGUGUCCUACAAUACCCUCUCGUGACCCGUGUGUAGGGGUGAAAGGCCCAUCGAACUCGGCAACAGCUGGUUCCAGCCGAUACAUGUCGAAGCAUGUCCUCAGCUGAGGCAGUCUGCGAGGUAGAGCGACCGAUUGCAUGUCCCGCCUCCGAGAGGAGUCGGCCAUGCUGUCAAACUCCAAACUUGCAGACGCCGUCGACGCUGGGAAUCCGGAUUGCGGGGUAAGCCUGUGAUCCGUGAGGGAGACAACCCAGAGUGUGGUUAAGGUCCCCAAGUGUGGAUUCAGUGCAAUCGAAGGUUGUCUCGAGCCCUAAACAGCCGGGAGGUGAGCUUAGAAGCAGCUACCCUCUAAGAAAAGCGUAACAGCUUACCGGCCGAGGUUCGAGGCGCCCAAAAUGAUCGGGGCUCAAAUCCACCACCGAGACCACACAGUGCCCACUUCGGGCAAUCUAGUAGGCUUGGCGUACUGCAUGGACGGAAUGACGGGUGAGAAUUCGUCAGGACCGUGCAGUAAUGACAAUCCUGGUCACAGUAGCAGCGAGAGUCGGGUGUGAACCCCGACGACCAAACGAGCAAGGGUUCCUCGGCACUGCCACUCAGCCGAGGGUUAGCCGAUCCUAAGUCCCACCGUAACUCGACUGGGACAACAGGGAAACUGGUUAAUAUUCCAGUGCCGUCGUGUAUUUCGUUCGACGCUUUCGGAAACAGCGAUCGAGGCACUCGCCUCGACGAAUCAUGGACGAUCGUGGACGCCGUAAUGGCACGAAGCGUUCAAAGCAUGACACAGAGCAAUUCGCUGGUACCAAGAGCCCGUGAAAAGACACACGCCGAUCGUACCAAGAACCAACACAGGUGCUCAGGCAGCAAAAGCCACGGUCUGUCGGGAUCAACCGACGUUAGGGAAUUCGGCAAGUUAGUCCCGUACCUUCGGAAGAAGGGAUGCCUGCUUGUGAACGAGCAGGUCGCAGUGACUCGGGCGCUCCGACUGUGUAGUAACAACAUAGGUGACCGCAAAUCCGCAAGGACUCGUACGGUCACUGAAUCCUGCCCAGUGCGGGUAUCUGAACACCUCGUACAAGAGGACGAAGGACCCGUUAACGGCGGGGGUAACUAUGACCCUCUUAAGGUAGCGUAGUACCUUGCCGCUUUAGUAGCGGCUUGCAUGAAUGGAUCAACGAGAGCGCCACUGUCCCAACGUUGGGCCCGGUGAACUGUACGUUCCAGUGCGGAGUCUGGAGUCCCCCAGGGGGAAGCGAAGACCCUAUAGAGCUUUACUGCAGGCUGUCGCUGAGACAUGGUCGCCAAUGUGCAGCAUAGGUAGGAGCCGUUACACAGGUAUCCGCGCCAGCGGAUCACCGAGGCAUCAGUGAAAUACUACCCGUUGGUGACUGUGACUCUCACUCCGGGAGGAGAACACCGGUAGCCGGGCAGUUUGACUGGGGCGGUACGCGCUCGAAAAGAUAUCGAGCGCGCCCAAAGGUUUCCUCACGUGAGUCGGAAACUCACAGAAGAGCGCAAGAGCACACGGAAGCCUGACAGUGAUCUUCCCAACGAGGAUCGCUGACGCGAAAGCGUGGUUUAGCGAACCAACGAGACCCAGCGAUGGGGUCCGUUGAUGACAGAAAAGCUACCUUAGGGAUAACAGAGUCGUCACCCGCAAGAGCACAUAUCGACCGGGUGGCUUGCUACCUCGAUGUCGGUUCCCUCCAUCCUGCCUGUGCAGAUGCAGGCAAGGGUGAGGUUGUUCGCCUAUUAAAGGAGGUCGUGAGCUGGGUUUAGACCGUCGUGAGACAGGUCGGCUGCUAUCUACUGGGGGUGUCAAGGGAUCUGCGAGGAACAUUCGUAUAGUACGAGAGGAACUCCGAAUGGGUGCCGCUGGUGUAUCGGUUGUCCGACAGGGCAAAUGCCGAGCAGCUACGCACCACUGGGUAAGAGCUGAAUGCAUCUAAGCUCGAAACCACCCUCAAAAAGAGAUCCCACUGAGAACGCUCAUACAAGAUGAGAGAGAUAGACUCGGGGUGUCCGCAUCGAGGCAACGAGAUGUUGAGCCCGCGAGCACUAACCGUUCGAGCCACAGUCAUCU